rnacentral:RNase_P_RNA from 1 species
GCUACCGGCUGGGUUAUCGCUCCGCUUUGCGGGGAGGAAAGUCUGGACAGCGAAGGGCAAUGCACCGGUGAAGAGCCGGGUACCCCGGAUUUAAUUCCGGGGUAACAGAAAGUGCCACAGAAAAUUACGGCCCCGAUCCUUGUCAUCCCGGACUUAGAUCCGGGACGGGAUAGCGGUUACGGUGAAAACGUGAGGUAAGAGCUCACGGAUAUGCCUGGCAACAGGUAUAUCGGGUAAACCUUGCAUGCUGAAAUGCCACGUAUACCAUCAGCUGAAAGCGGCUCGCUUGAUCCCGGUUCUUGGACCGGGACUGAUGGAGGGUAGGCAGAUUGAUCCGCCGGGCAACCGGCAGGACAGAUAAAUGAUAACCGCUCCGUGCAAACGGAGAACAGAAUCCGGCUUACAGGCCGGUGGCAAAU